rnacentral:rRNA from 1 species
GACGGACGAUGCAAGCGUUAUCCGGAAUGAUUGGGCGUAAAGCGUCCGCAGGUGGCAGUUCAAGUCUGCUGUCAAAGACCGGGGCUUAACUUCGGAAAGGCAGUGGAAACUGAACAGCUAGAGUAUGGUAGGGGCAGAGGGAAUUCCUGGUGUAGCGGUGAAAUGCGCAGAUAUCAGGAGGAACACCGGUGGCGAAGGCGGAUCUCUGGGCCUUACCUGACGCUGAGGCGCGAAAGCUAGGGGAGCGAACAGG